rnacentral:lncRNA from 1 species
ACCAGUUACUUUGAUCAACUCAUCUGUGCUGUGCCACGGAAGGCAGUGUGGUGGUCAGUUCUCUCUGCAGGGGAACCCAUGACUUCAGGAAGCUGAGGCAGCAACAAUACUGGAAAAAACUGAUCUGAGGGAAGGCAGUUGAUGGUGGAAAUUACUAUCCUAAAUCAAAGUGUUCUGCCUCACAGUACCUAUAUUCCAGUGGCUGCCGAGAUAGAACUAAGGUGUUAAGAAGAAACUACUCCAGGCAAGGAGACAACACCACAGAAGGAAAAGCUUAGGCUGCCGGUGUUGGGGCAUAUGCUUACCUGGGCUGUUCUGCCAAGACAGAAGAAGGUGAUGAUAGAGGCCUGGAGAUCAUUAACCAAGUGCAUUACGUGAGGAAAGGAGGAGAAAAAAACCACUGCAGGCACUGCCAAAUUUUGUGAGAAGGGAACAUUAUUUUGUGGUUGGAUUUCAUCAUGUGGAAAGCACUUGCAGGCAGAGGACAUAAAGAAGAGGGAAUGCCAGCAACCAUGCUGUCAACUUUGCAAGUCAUUAACAAUCUGGAAAGAGACUGAGACAUACUGUCAACUUAAGCAGAA